rnacentral:snRNA from 1 species
AUACUCUGCUUUUAUUUUCAGAUCAUAUAAAUCUUUCACCUUUUACUAAAGAAUUCCAUGGAGAGAAACAACUCUGAGUCUUUGACAAGUAG